ACUCCUGCGGGAGGCAGCAGUGGGGAAUAUUGGACAAUGGGCGCAAGCCUGAUCCAGCCAUGCCGCGUGAGUGAUGAAGGCCCUAGGGUUGUAAAGCUCUUUCACCGGUGAAGAUAAUGACGGUAACCGGAGAAGAAGCCCCGGCUAACUUCGUGCCAGCAGCCGCGGUAAUACGAAGGGGGCUAGCGUUGUUCGGAUUUACUGGGCGUAAAGCGCACGUAGGCGGACUAUUAAGUCAGGGGUGAAAUCCCGGGGCUCAACCCCGGAACUGCCUUUGAUACUGGUAGUCUUGAGUUCGAGAGAGGUGAGUGGAAUUCCGAGUGUAGAGGUGAAAUUCGUAGAUAUUCGGAGGAACACCAGUGGCGAAGGCGGCUCACUGGCUCGAUACUGACGCUGAGGUGCGAAAGCGUGGGGAGCAAACAGGAUUAGAUACCCCUGUAGUCCCAU
rnacentral:rRNA from 1 species